GAUGAACGCUGGCGGCGUGCCUAAUACAUGCAAGUCGAGCGAACAGACGAGGAGCUUGCUCCUCUGACGUUAGCGGCGGACGGGUGAGUAACACGUGGAUAACCUACCUAUAAGACUGGGAUAACUUCGGGAAACCGGAGCUAAUACCGGAUAAUAUAUUGAACCGCAUGGUUCAAUAGUGAAAGACGGUUUUGCUGUCACUUAUAGAUGGAUCCGCGCCGCAUUAGCUAGUUGGUAAGGUAACGGCUUACCAAGGCAACGAUGCGUAGCCGACCUGAGAGGGUGAUCGGCCACACUGGAACUGAGACACGGUCCAGACUCCUACGGGAGGCAGCAGUAGGGAAUCUUCCGCAAUGGGCGAAAGCUUGACGGAGCAACGCCGCGUGAGUGAUGAAGGUCCUCGGAUCGUAAAACUCUGUUAUUAGGGAAGAACAACUGUGUAAGUAACUAUGCACGUCUUGACGGUACCUAAUCAGAAAGCAACGGCUAACUACGUG
rnacentral:rRNA from 1 species